UGGGGAAUAUUGCGCAAUGGGGGGAACCCUGACGCAGCGACGCCGCGUGAGCGAAGAAGGCCUUCGGGUCGUAAAGCUCUGUCUUUGGGGACGAAGGAGAUGACGGUACCCAAGGAGGAAGCCCCGGCUAACUACGUGCCAGCAGCCGCGGUAAUACGUAGGGGGCGAGCGUUGUCCGGAAUUACUGGGCGUAAAGGGUGCGUAGGCGGCCUGAGAAGUCAUGUGUGAAAUACCUGGGCUCAACCUGGGUGUUGCACAUGAAACUGGCGGGCUUGAGUGCAGGAGAGGGAAGUGGAAUUCCUAGUGUAGCGGUGAAAUGCGUAGAGAUUAGGAGGAACACCAGUGGCGAAGGCGGCUUCCUGGCCUGUAACUGACGCUGAGGCACGAAAGCGUGGGGAGCAAACAGG
rnacentral:rRNA from 1 species